rnacentral:rRNA from 1 species
GAUGAACGCUAGCGGGAGGCCUAACACAUGCAAGCCGAGCGGUAGAGUUCCUUCGGGAACUUGAGAGCGGCGUACGGGUGCGUAACACGUGUGCAACCUACCUUUAUCUGGGGGAUAGCCUUUCGAAAGGAAGAUUAAUACCCCAUAAUAUAAUGAUUGGCAUCAAUUAUUAUUGAAAACUCCGGUGGAUAGAGAUGGGCACGCGCAAGAUUAGAUAGUUGGUGAGGUAACGGCUCACCAAGUCAAUGAUCUUUAGGGGUCCUGAGAGGGAGAUCCCCCACACUGGUACUGAGACACGGACCAGACUCCUACGGGAGGCAGCAGUGAGGAAUAUUGGACAAUGGGUGAAAGCCUGCUCCAGCCAUCCCGCGUGAAGGAUGACGGUCCUAUGGAUUGUAAACUUCUUUUGUACAGGGAUAAACCUACUCUCGUGAGGGUAGCUGAAGGUACUGUACGAAUAAGCACCGGCUAACUCCGUG